UACAGAGGUCCCAAGCGUUGUUCGGAUUUACUGGGCGUAAAGGGUGCGUAGGUGGUCGGGUAAGUUUGAUGUGAAAUCUCCGGGCUUAACCCGGAAAUGGCAUUGAAUACUAUUCGGCUGGAGGGUUGGAGGGGGGACUGGAAUACUUGGUGUAGCAGUGAAAUGCGUAGAUAUCAAGUGGAACACCAGUGGCGAAGGCGAGUCCCUGGACAAGACCUGACACUGAGGCACGAAAGCCAGGGGAGCAAACAGG
rnacentral:rRNA from 1 species